UGUUAAUCAUUACUCCGAUCC
rnacentral:siRNA from 1 species